rnacentral:rRNA from 1 species
AUACGUAGGGUGCGAGCGUUGUCCGGAAUUACUGGGCGUAAAGAGCUCGUAGGUGGUUUGUCGCGUCGUCUGUGAAAUUCCGGGGCUUAACUCCGGGCGUGCAGGCGAUACGGGCAUAACUUGAGUACUGUAGGGGAGACUGGAAUUCCUGGUGUAGCGGUGAAAUGCGCAGAUAUCAGGAGGAACACCGGUGGCGAAGGCGGGUCUCUGGUCAGUAACUGACGCUGAGGAGCGAAAGCAUGGGUAGCGAACAGGAUUAGAUACCCUGGUAGUCCAUGCCGUAAACGGUGGGCGCUAGGUGUAGGGGUCUUCCACGACUUCUGUGCCGUAGCUAACGCAUUAAGCGCCCCGCCUGGGGAGUACGGCCGCAAGGCUAAAACUCAAAGGAAUUGACGGGG